CGGAGGGUGCAAGCGUUAUCCGGAUUCACUGGGUUUAAAGGGUGCGUAGGCGGGCAUGUAAGUCCGUGGUGAAAUCUCCGAGCUUAACUCGGAAACUGCCAUGGAUACUAUGUGUCUUGAAUGCUGUGGAGGUGAGCGGAAUAUGUCAUGUAGCGGUGAAAUGCUUAGAUAUGACAUAGAACACCAAUUGCGAAGGCAGCUCACUACACAAAUAUUGACGCUGAGGCACGAAAGCGUGGGGAUCAAACAGGAUUAGAUACCCUGGUAGUCCACGCCCUAAACGAUGAUUACUCGACAUACGUGAUACACAAUGUGUGUCUGAGCGAAAGCAUUAAGUAAUCCACCUGGGAAGUACGACCGCAAGGUUG
rnacentral:rRNA from 1 species